rnacentral:rRNA from 1 species
GCCAUAGAAGGUGAUAGCCCUGUAUCUGAAAGGGCCAUUUCAGUGAAGACGAGUAGGGCGGGGCACGUGAAACCCUGUCUGAACAUGGGGGGACCAUCCUCCAAGGCUAAAUACUACUGACCGACCGAUAGUGAACCAGUACCGUGAGGGAAAGGCGAAAAGAACCCCGGAGAGGGGAGUGAAAUAGAACCUGAAACCGUGUGCGUACAAGCAGUAGGAGCUCCGCAAGGAGUGACUGCGUACCUUUUGUAUAAUGGGUCAGCGACUUACUGUUCGUGGCAAGCUUAACCGUAUAGGGGAGGCGAAGGGAAACCGAGUCUGAUAAGGGCGCAUAGUCGCGGGCAGUAGACCCGAAACCGGGUGAUCUAGUCAUGCCCAGGGUGAAGGUGCGGUAACACGCACUGGAGGCCCGAACCCACUCCCGUUGCAAAGGUAGGGGAUGAGGUGUGAUUAGGAGUGAAAAGCUAAUCGAACCCGGAGAUAGCUGGUUCUCCUCGAAAGCUAUUUAGGUAGCGCCUCAUAUGUAUCCUCUCGGGGGUAGAGCACUGUUAUGGCUAGGGGGUCAUCGCGACUUACCAAACCAUUGCAAACUCCGAAUACCGAGACGGACUGUAUGGGAGACACACGGCGGGUGCUAACGUCCGUCGUGAAAAGGGAAACAACCCAGACCCACAGCUAAGGUCCCAAAUUUUGUGCUAAGUGGAAAACCAUGUGGAAAGGCACAGACAGCCAGGAGGUUGGCUUAGAAGCAGCCACCCUUUAAAGAAAGCGUAAUAGCUCACUGGUCGAGUCGGUCUGCGGGGAAGAUUUAACGGGGCUAAGCACAGAACCGAAGCUUGGGGUGCAUACUUUGUAUGCGCGGUAGAGGAGCGUUCCGUAAGCCGUUGAAGGUGGAUUGAGAAGUCUGCUGGAGGUAUCGGAAGUGCGAAUGCUGACAUGAGUAACGAUAAUGCGGGUGAAAAACCCGCACGCCGAAAGCCCAAGGUUUCCUUGCGCAACGUUAAUCGGCGCAGGGUGAGUCGGCCCCUAAGGCGAGGACGAAAGUCGUAGUCGAUGGGAAGCAGGUUAAUAUUCCUGCACCUCGCGUAAGUGCGAUGGAGGGACGGAGAAGGUUAGGUGUACCAGGCGUUGGUUGUCCUGGGGAAAGGCGGUAGGUUUGGAUCUUUGGCAAAUCCGGGAUCCUCUAAGACCGAGCACCGAGACGAGCCUUUAAGGCGAAGUCACUGAUACCACGCUUCCAGGAAAAGCUCCUAAGCUUCAGCUUACGCAGACCGUACCGUAAACCGACACAGGUGGGUAGGAUGAGAAUUCUCAGGCGCUUGAGAGAACUCGGGUGAAGGAACUAGGCAACAUGGCACCGUAACUUCGGGAGAAGGUGCACCCUUUUUGGUGGCUCGUGCGAGCUAUAGCUGAAGAGGGUCGCAGUAACCAGGCCGCUGCGACUGUUUAUCAAAAACACAGCACUCUGCAAACACGAAAGUGGACGUAUAGGGUGUGACGCCUGCCCGGUGCUGGAAGGUUAAUUGAUGGGGUCAGCCGCAAGGCGAAGCUCUUGAUCGAAGCCCCAGUAAACGGCGGCCGUAACUAUAACGGUCCUAAGGUAGCGAAAUUCCUUGUCGGGUAAGUUCCGACCUGCACGAAUGGCGUAACGACAGCGGCGCUGUCUCCACCCGAGACUCAGUGAAAUUGAAAUCGCUGUGAAGAUGCAGCGUUCCCGUGGCAAGACGGAAAGACCCCGUGAACCUUUACUAUAGCUUUACACUGAACGUUGAGUUCGUCUGUGUAGGAUAGGUGGGAGGCUAUGAAACCAUGGCGCUAGCUGUGGCGGAGCCAUCCUUGAAAUACCACCCUGUCGUGCUUGACGUUCUAACCUAGGCCCAUUAUCUGGGUCGGGGACCGUGUAUGGUGGGUAGUUUGACUGGGGCGGUCUCCUCCUAAAGAGUAACGGAGGAGCUCGAAGGUACGCUCAGCGCGGUCGGACAUCGCGCACUGUGUGCAAAGGCAUAAGCGUGCUUGACUGCAAGAUCGACGGAUCAAGCAGGUAGGAAACUAGGACUUAGUGAUCCGGUGGUUCUGUAUGGAAGGGCCAUCGCUCAACGGAUAAAAGGUACUCCGGGGAUAACAGGCUGAUACCGCCCAAGAGUUCAUAUCGACGGCGGUGUUUGGCACCUCGAUGUCGGCUCAUCACAUCCUGGGGCUGUAGUCGGUCCCAAGGGUAUGGCUGUUCGCCAUUUAAAGUGGUACGCGAGCUGGGUUCAGAACGUCGUGAGACAGUUCGGUCCCUAUCUGCCAUGGGCGUUGGAGAUUUGAGAGGGGCUGCUCCUAGUACGAGAGGACCGGAGUGGACGAACCUCUGGUGUUCCGGUUGUCACGCCAGUGGCAUUGCCGGGUAGCUAUGUUCGGAAGCGAUAACCGCUGAAAGCAUCUAAGCGGGAAGCGCGCCUCAAGAUGAGAUCUCCCGGGGCACAAGCCCCCUGAAGGAACCAUGUAGACUACGUGGUUGAUAGGUCAGGUGUGUAAGUACAGCAAUGUAUUGAGCUAACUGAUACUAAUGAUCCGUGCGGCUUGACCAUAUAACCU